UUGAAAAAUUUUUUUGAUUGUUAUUUAUUAUUAAUUAAUAAAAUAUAAUUGUUUAAUAAAAUAGUAUUUGUUUUAGUUUUAGAAUGAAAAAUUUAGGUUUAUUAUAAGUUAAAGUAUUGAAAAAGAAUUAAUGUUAUAAAGAAAAAAGUUGAAAUUAUUUUUGUACCUUUUGUAUCAGGGUUUAAAGAAAAAUUGUUAGAUAAAUAAAUCUCGAAAAGUUAAGAUUUAAGUUUAUAGUAUUGUUAAUGUAUCAAAAUUAAUAUUAAAUAUAAAUUUAGUAAUGAAAAGUUAAUCGUUUAACGAUGUUUCUAGUUUUUAAAUAAAUUAAUUUAAUUAAAAGUUGGACUUGUAUAUUAAUUAUUAUAAAAAUAAGUUCAGCUUAAAACUAUAAAGAGUUUAGUUUUUAUAGAUUUUAUAUAAAAAUAAAUAAAAUUUUUUUUAGAAUUAUUAUUGUUUAAAAUUAUUAAUUUUUUAAAAAGAAAAAUUUUUUAUAAUGAAAUUUAUUUAUAAAUUAAAAGUAUAUUUAAAUUAUGAUUUAAUUUAAUUAAAUCAAGAAAAAAUUUUAAAAUUAGUAAAUUUUGUGAUUAAAUUGUUAAAUAGGAAUUCGGCAAAAUUAAUUUUCGCUUGUUUAUCAAAAACAUGUCUUUAAGAUUUUUAUUUAAAGUCCAAUCUGCUCACUGAAUUUUAAAGAGCUGCAGUAUACUGACUGUACAAAGGUAGCAUAAUCAAUAGUUUUUUAAUUGAAAACUGGAAUGAAUGAUUAGACGAGAAAUUAGCUUUCUUUUUAAUAAAAAAUUGAAUUUAAAUUUUAAGUGAAAAUGCUUAAAUAAUUUUAAAAGACGAGAAGACCCUAUAGAUUUUUAUUAAUUUAAUUGUAAUUAAUUAUUUAUUUUUAAAUUAAUUUAAUUGGGGCGAUUUUGUAAAAUAAAAAACUUAAAAUAUUUUUAACCAUAAAUAAUUGAAUUUUUUGAUCCAAAAAUUUUGAUAAAAAGAAUAAAUUACCUUAGGGAUAACAGCGUAAUUUUAUUUAAGAGUUCAUAUCUAUAAUAAAGUUUGCGACCUCGAUGUUGAAUUAAGGGUUUCAUCGGAGUAGAAAUUGAUGUUAAAUAGUCUGUUCGACUAUUAAAUCCUUACAUGAUUUGAGUUCAGACCGGCGUGAGCCAGGUCAGUUUCUAUCUUUGAAUUAUUUUUAUAAAUGGGUACGAAAGGACAAUUUAUAAAUAAAAAUUAUUUAAUUUAU
rnacentral:rRNA from 1 species